rnacentral:lncRNA from 1 species
GCAGGAAGUCUAUUUCCAGUGCACUGGAGACAACGAGACAAACCUGCCAACAGUAGAGAUGUUAAAGGUAAUAGAAAAACAGCUCAAUGAUUUACUGGGCAGCGUGGAGAGAAUCCCACCAGCAAAGAUAGAAAAGGCUGUGAAAGCCAUAAGAAAGGAACAGAGGGCAAGGCUCAGAGAGGAAAAGCAAAAACAAGCGAAGCAGCAGCAAGAUGAAGGAUUGAAAAGGGACAUGGAAAGAUCACAGGUACCUGAAGGAAAAAAGAACUACAAGAAAACGGCCUUGCCUUCCAACCCACCUGCCAGGAAGAACAGCCAAGGAAACAGAUAAGAAGGAAGAACAACUGUAUUAUUUCCCCUGAUGACACAGCUUUAACCACAGCUCAUAUGGCUGAUGCUGUUCUAAAAGUCUUUUCUAGAUCUACAUUCUGUCAGUCUUUGCUCAGCUGAACUUUACUGUCCCAUGAAAUUUCCUUCUUCUUCUACCCUAAGAUUCCAGGGAAAGUUUGCAACCCCUUUUCUCCUCCUUUGAUAUUUUGCCUAAGAAAUGAAAUAAAAAUCCUCUCAUUUUGGUUCUCA